GCUCUCUAUUUUUCUUUAUAAUAUAUACUAUUUUGGUUUCAAUUUUUGUUAAGUUGCUAUUCAUUAAACCAUUGGAAAUGCGGAGUACACUGAUGUACAGGUCUCAAUAGGCAUAGUUCAGGGGCUCCAAUAUCUGCUAAAAAUGUAACUUUUUAUUGAAUAAAAAAAAAUCUUUUUUUUUAAAUUUGAAUGUAAUUAAACGCAAAUCCUUAACACCACAAUAAGUACCUACGAGUAUGCAUAAAUGAAUACCGGAUUUAUCAAGGUCAUAGUAUAUAUUAUUAAGGAAAAUCAUACUAAAUCUCGAGUUCUUAGUUAGAAUUUUUAAAUCGAAGGAGUUACAUAUGUUUUGUGUGCGAUGAGGGCAAUAAUAUUUGUUGUGUUAUUUUAUUAUUUGAUAUUUGUGAGUGUAUGCGCCAAGGAUUUUAAAUUUGGAAUCAUCUAUAAUAACGACUUAAUAUCAUUUAAAAAAGUUGAAGCUGACGGAAUACUGCUUACAAAAGUAGAAAAAGAUUAUAUUUAUAUUGAUCCCAAAGAUAGUAUUAUUGAGGGUGUAGUGGCGUAUGAUCUGUGGCAUACAGAGGCUGAAGUCAAUGUAACAGCUGGAGGCGUCGGCGAAUCUCACGUGACUCUGCAUCUCCAGAGCGAGAUAGGAAUAGGACUCAAUUAUGCUAUCCUUGUUUUUAUUGAAUAAACAUCAAAAUAUAAGUAAAGUCAAUAAUUUUUAAUUUAA